GGGUCCUCCAGUGCCCGCAGCUGGUCCGGCAGCCCUGGCCUUACCCGGGCGUCGGGGCUUCAGCGGGCAUUAGCAGCAGCUGAGAGGCCUGUGAGAGGUUCUGGGGCGCCACCGCAGUCAUUCUGUUCAGCGGGUUUAGGACUUUCAUUCAUAGGACUGUCCUUGAUUCCUAGCCAUCACUGGGAGGCUCUACCUUCAAGUGUUAUCCAGAAUCAGACCACCUCACCUCAUCUACUGUGGCCUCCCUGGGACGGGCCUGGCCUCCUUCAGUCUGUUCUCACCACAAAGCCACCAGAAGGAUCCUUUUAUUUUGAUUGAUUGAUUGAUUGAUAUGGGGUCUGACUCUGUCAGCAGGCUGGAGUGCAAUGGCACGAUGUCACCUCACUGCAAGCUCUGCUUCCUGGACUCGAGCAAUCCUCCCACCACUGCCUCCCGGGUACCUGGGACCACAGGUGCACACCACCAUGCCCAGUUAAUCUUUUUGUAUUUUUGGUAGAGAUGGGGUUUCACCAUUUUGCCCAGGAUGGUCUCAAACUCUUUUUAUUUUAUUUUAUUUUUUUUUUGAGACAGAGUUUUGCUCUUGCCCAGGCUGGAGUGCAAUGGCGCGAUCUCGGCUCACCGCAACCUCCACCUCCCAGGUUCAAGUGAUUCUCCUGCCUCAGCCUUCCCAAGUAGCUGGGAUUACAGGAAUGCACCACCAAGUCCGGCUAAUUUUGUAUUUUUAGUAGAGAUGGGGUUUCUCCAUGUGGGUCAGGCUGGUCUCAAACUCCCAAACUCAGGUGAUCCGCCUACCUCGGCCUCCUAAAGUGCUGGGAUUACAGGCGUGAGCCAACGCGCCCGGCCUCAAACUUUUUUUUUUUUUGAGAUGGAGUCUCGCUCUGCUGCCCAGGCUGGAGUGCAGUGGCACGAUUUUGGCUCACUGCAACCUCUGCCUCCCGGGUUCAUGCCAUUCUCCUGCCUCAGCCUCCCGAGUAGCUGGGACUACAGGCGCCCGCCACCACGCCUGGCUAAUUUUUGGUAUUUUUUUAGUAGAGUCAGGGUUUCACUGUGUUAGCCAGGAUGGUCUCGAUCUCCUGACCUCGUGAUCCACCCACCUGGGCCUCCCAAAGUGCUGGGAUUACAGGCGUGAGCCACCGCGCCCGGCCAUGGCCUCAAACUCUUAAGCUCAAGCAAUCUACCCACCUCAGCUUCCCACAGUGCUGGGAUUACAGGUGUGGGCCACCACGCCCAGCGCCUUUUAAAAGCGCAGUUGGAUCAUAGCAUUUAUCUGCUCAUAACAAUGGCUUUUGCUUCCCCGCUCACUCAAAAGAAAGUCCUUCUUCACUGCAGAACUGUCCCUCCUACCACAGGAUGUUUAGGGUUCCUGGCUGGAACCCCCAAAGGUCCUAAUGGUGCUGGUCAUGGGGGGGAUCCACACCAUUGUGACAACGAAAUAUGCCCACAUGAUACCCAAGGCUUCAUCCUGGCCCCACCCCUCCCACUGUAUCACUGUGCCGGGUUGGUUUCUUCAUCUAAAAAACGGCGAUGGGGAUAACAAACUUGAAAGAGUGUCAUGCAAAUGAGGUGUCCAGCAUCAGGAGGUGUCCAGCAUCAGGAAUACUAAUAAAGGGUCCCCAGUGAUACCAGCCGAGGCAUAAGCAAA